AUUGAACGCUGGCGGCAGGCCUAACACAUGCAAGUCGAAUGGUAACAGGAAACAGCUUGCUGUUUCGCUGACGAGUGGCGGACGGGUGAGUAAUGUCUGGGAAACUGCCUGAUGGAGGGGGAUAACUACUGGAAACGGUAGCUAAUACCGCAUAACGUCGCAAGACCAAAGAGGGGGGACCUUCGGGGCCUCUUGCCAUCAGAUGUGCCCAGAUGGGAUUAGCUAGUAGGUGGGGUAACGGCUCACCUAGGCGACGAUCCCUAGCUGGUCUGAGAGGAUGACCAGCCACACUGGAACUGAGACACGGUCCAGACUCCUACGGGAGGCAGCAGUGGGGAAUAUUGCACAAUGGGCGCAAGCCUGAUGCAGCCAUGCCGCGUGUAUGAA
rnacentral:rRNA from 1 species